rnacentral:rRNA from 1 species
CAGCACUUCAAGUGGUCAGGAUGAUUAUUGGGCCUAAAGCGUCCGUAGCCGGCGCUGUAAGUUUUCGGUUAAAUCUGUACGCUCAACGUACAGGCUGCCGGGAAUACUGCAGCGCUAGGGAGUGGGAGAGGUAGACGGUACUCGGUAGGAAGGGGUAAAAUCCUUUGAUCUAUUGAUGACCACCUGUGGCGAAGGCGGUCUACCAGAACACGUCCGACGGUGAGGGAUGAAAGCUGGGGGAGCAAACCGGAUUAGAGACCCGAGUAGUCC